GCGAUCAUACCAGCACUAAUGUGCAGGAUCCCAUCAGAACUCCGAAGUUAAGCGUGCUUGGGCGAGAGUAGUACUAGGAUGGGUGACCCCCUGGGAAGUCCUCGUGUUGCACCCC
rnacentral:rRNA from 1 species